GAUAGCUAGGCCUAUAGAAAAUGAUCUGUCUACAGUUGCGGUCAAAUAUAUUGGCACCCUUGCACGAGUCCCUAUUUCUUCUAAAAUAAGUUGAAAUUUAAAAAAACAUUUGAAUGUUCAUGUGUUUUUGAAAUGGACAUUUUCCACACCAAAAAAUUGCCUUGACUAAAUGACUCAGAAUUCAAGCUAAUUUGGUUGGAGACAAGUGAUUCUCGUUUACUGUGUAAUAUAUCUCACCUGUGGUAAGUUGCAAGUGCCUGCAGGUAAAAAUAAUCAUUCAAACAGUUUCGAAAAGAGAAAACAGAACAUUCCAUUGCAAAGUGCAAGGGUGCCAAUAUAUUUGACCGCAACUAUAUAUUUACACAGAGCCAGUAAGCACAUUAGACAAGCUGCUUGCUGAGUCUCUGUCCACUUCUAGAAUAAUGCUGAUAGUGAGAACAUACUGUAUGCUAUGGAUAUGACUGUGACCUCUGCUCUGUCUGUCUCCACGGGGUCACUGGACUGUCUGGGUUAGGGUAUGUGUGUUUGUGUGCGUGCUUGUGUGAGAUGUGUGUGUCUGUGAGAGAGAGAGAGAGAGACAGAGAGAAAAUAGAGACUUUUACUUUACUCCGUUUACUACAACAUUUUAUUUGUACAACACUUCAGCAGAGAAAACAAACCAGCUUGGUGUGACUGUGAGUCUACCUACCUGAGUCUUGUCUGAAUAGAGUGAAGUCCUCUGGCAGCCCCCGGAUGACUGCCACUGGACGCUGACGCAUUACCUGGAGGAGGGAGAGAGGAGACAGUAGAGAGGAGAGAGAGAGUAGAGGUAGGGACAGAGGGAGGAGAGAGAGAGUAGAGGUAGGGACAGAGGGAGGAAGGAGAGAGUAGAGGUAGGGACAGAGGGAGGAAGGAGAGAGUAGAGGUAGGGACAGAGGGAGGAAGGAGAGAGUAGAGGUAGGGACAGAGGGAGGAAGGAGAGAGUAGAGGGAGGAAGGAGAGAGUAGAGGUAGGGACAGAGGGAGGAAGGAGAGAGUAGAGGUAGGGACAGAGGGAGAAAGGAGAGAGUAGAGGUAGGGACAGAGGGAGAAAGGAGAGAGUAGAGGUAGGGACAGAGGGAGGAAGGAGAGAGUAGAGGUAGGGACAGAGGUAUAUCAGUUACUGAAUACAUUUUACAUUUUUAGUCAUUUAGCUCUUAUCCAGAGCGACUUACAGUAGUGAAUGCAUACAUUUCAUACAAUUUCAUAAAAAAAUUUCUGUGCUGGCCCCCCGUGGGAAUCGAACCCACAACCCUGGCGUUGCAAACACCAUGCUCUACCAACUGAGCUACAGGGAAGGCUUACCUAUUACCUGGAGAAAUACAGCAUGACACUACGUAGCCAUGUUCUAUGUACGUACAUGGUGGAAUAGCUGAAGAUCCACAUCGGGAGAUUUUCACUUGGGCAAACAACCGUCCUCUCCUCGACUCUUCCGUCCUCACUCCUCCGUGUCCCAGAAACCGAUAAGGGGUCGAGGAGAGUGUACAUUAGUAGACGAACAGAACAGUGUCCUCGCCUCCUUGAUAGCCUCCUCCUGUUGAGGAAGCAUAAGAGAAUCCUACCUGAGUCCUUUGUAAAAUACUUUUGAGCUCCGCCAAACUCCCUUUGAAUCAGCUGUUGUUUACUUGGAGAAAAGCAAGCAGACAUUUAAAAACAAUAUGCUACUCAUCCUUUUGUCUAUAAAAUGUCUAACACAACUGCAGUAGCUCUGUUUUUUUAAUACUUUACAUUUUGCAUUCCACCCUGUAAAUGUAAUUUGCAUGAUGACAUGCACGUGAAGGAGAGCCUCAUUUCAUGAAAGAGUUUCCUCUCCUCCCCUCCUCUACUCGGUUACCUUUGACCUUUUUCAAAAGCAGCCGAGGACGGAGGACGGAGGAGUCGAGGCAACCAAUUGAGAAUCUCACAUAUACUCAGUUCCACUGGGUUGCUGUGAUCUGUAAGAGUGGAGGUUGAGUAGGAGUGGAGAGGAGAGUGGAGAAGAAAGAGGAAAGGAGAGGAGAAGAGAGGAGUGGGGAGUAGAGAGGAGAGGCGAGGCGAGGAUAGACAAGUGGAAAGGAGAGAGGAAAGGAGAGGAGGAGAGGAGCUAGAUGUAGAGUAGGCUAAUUAUUCUAAUCACACAGAAGGUGACUCAGAUUAACCUGGAUCUUACCUCAAUAGAACACAAGAGAGCCU
rnacentral:tRNA from 1 species